rnacentral:rRNA from 1 species
AACGCGAAGAACCUUACCCAGACUUGACAUACACGUGACAGUACUAGAGAUAGUAUGUUCCUUCGGGACACGUGAACAGGUGCUGCAUGGCUGUCGUCAGCUCGUGCCGUGAGGUGUUGGGUUAAGUCCCGCAACGAGCGCAACCCUUAUCGUUAGUUGCCAACAUUUAGGAUGGGAACUCUAAUGAGACUGCCUGGGUUAACCAGGAGGAAGGUGAGGAUGACGUCAAGUCCGCAUGGCCCUUAUGUCUGGGGCUACACACGUGCUACAAUGGGCGGUACAGAAGGAAGCGAAGCCGCGAGGUGGAGCAAAUCCCAAAAGCCGUCCUCAGUUCAGAUUGUAGUCUGCAACUCGACUACAUGAAGACGGAAUUGCUAGUAAUGGCAGGUCAGCAACACUGCCGUGAAUACGUUCCCGGGCCUUGUACACACCGAUAGC